GACGAACGCUGGCGGCGUGCCUAAUACAUGCAAGUAGAACGCUGAAGAGAGGAGCUUGCUCUUCUUGGAUGAGUUGCGAACGGGUGAGUAACGCGUAGGUAACCUGCCUUGUAGCGGGGGAUAACUAUUGGAAACGAUAGCUAAUACCGCAUAACAAUGGAUGACACAUGUCAUUUAUUUGAAAGGGGCAAUUGCUCCACUACAAGAUGGACCUGCGUUGUAUUAGCUAGUAGGUGAGGUAACGGCUCACCUAGGCGACGAUACAUAGCCGACCUGAGAGGGUGAUCGGCCACACUGGGACUGAGACACGGCCCAGACCCCUACGGGAGGCAGCAGUAGGGAAUCUUCGGCAAUGGGGGCAACCCUGACCGAGCAACGCCGCGUGAGUGAAGAAGGUUUUCGGAUCGUAAAGCUCUGUUGUAAGUCAAGAACGAGUGUGAGAGUGGAAAGUUCACACUGUGACGGUAGCUUACCAGAAAGGGACGGCUAACUACG
rnacentral:rRNA from 1 species